CCUACGGGAGGCAGCAGUGAGGAAUAUUGGUCAAUGGGCGCGAGCCUGAACCAGCCAAGUCGCGUGAGGGAAGACGGUCCUAUGGAUUGUAAACCUCUUUUGUCGGGGAGCAAAAGACUCCACGCGUGGCGUUCCGAGUGUACCCUAUGAAAAAGCAUCGGCUAACUCCGUGCCAGCAGCCGCGGUAAUACGGAGGAUGCGAGCGUUAUCCGGAUUUAUUGGGUUUAAAGGGUGCGAAGGCGGAAGAUUAAGUCAGCGGUAAAAUUGAGAGGCUCAACCUCUUCGAGCCGUUGAAACUGGUGUUCUUGAGUGAGCGAGAGGUAUGCGGAAUGCGUGGUGUAGCGGUGAAAUGCAUAGAUAUCACGCAGAACUCCGAUGGCGAAGGCAGCAUACCGGCGCUCAACUGACGCUCAUGCACGAAAGUGUGGGUAUCGAACAGGAUUAGAUACCCCUGAAGUC
rnacentral:rRNA from 1 species